GACGAACGCUGGCGGCGUGCCUAAUACAUGCAAGUAGAACGCUGAAGAGAGGAGCUUGCUCUUCUUGGAUGAGUUGCGAACGGGUGAGUAACGCGUAGGUAACCUGCCUUGUAGCGGGGGAUAACUAUUGGAAACGAUAGCUAAUACCGCAUAACAAUGGAUGACACAUGUCGUUUAUUUGAAAGGGGCAAUUGCUCCACUACAAGAUGGACCUGCGUUGUAUUAGCUAGUAGGUGAGGUAAUGGCUCACCUAGGCGACGAUACAUAGCCGACCUGAGAGGGUGAUCGGCCACACUGGGACUGAGACACGGCCCAGACUCCUACGGGAGGCAGCAGUAGGGAAUCUUCGGCAAUGGGGGCAACCCUGACCGAGCAACGCCGCGUGAGUGAAGAAGGUUUUCGGAUCGUAAAGCUCUGUUGUAAGUCAAGAACGGGUGUGAGAGUGGAAAGUUCACACUGUGACGGUAGCUUACCAGAAAGGGACGGCUAACUACGU
rnacentral:rRNA from 1 species